GGAAUUUAUGAAAGAUUGUUUUCUGCUGUUGAAUUUCCAGCAAACAACACUCUAUCCGAAAGUCAUACUACCUUGACCUUUUCCCUCACCACCUAGUUCCUUCCAACUAUGGAAGCCGUCUAAACUAGAUUUCACUGCCACCGAGAGCUCCCCUGCCACCACAUUCUUCCACUAAACUUCAUUCUCUGCUGCUAUCAAACUCUACAAAAAACAUUCGUUGCUUGUUUUCUCUUCCACCGACUGGAUCGAGGUCAUCAAUUGGUAAUCAGAGCUUGGUUGCUGCAUUAUAUUCCAGCUCCGUGAGCGAUCUCGCUGUCCAGAUAAGUUCUCGUUUCAUGUCCGAGUUGUCAAAUAUUGUUUGACAUGUCUGUGUUCAGUUCACUGUUCCAUUGCUUCUCUUAAAUUCCAUAGGUUCCUUUGAGUCACUUGUUUGAUCCAGCUUUGAUUUGAUUUGGUCUUAGCAUUUUAAUCGGUUCAUUUCAUAGAUUUGAGUUUUUUUAUUUUUUUUUAAAUCCUACUGCUGUUUGUCUAAGUCAUGUUCAUUGUUGUUUCCAUUAUGUCCAAUUUCCAAGUUCAACCGUGUGUGGAUAAAUCUGCAUAGUUGAUUGGAGUAAUUCAAUAGAAGCUUAGUGCAUCUUAAAUCUCCUCAACAAAGCAGUACCAGAGGUUGACAAAGUAUAAUUGUUUCAUAUUUGAAUUUUGGUUUGCAUCAGGUGGAAAAGUGUUAUCCGUACAAUCAAUUGUGUUUUAUGCUAUUCUGUUUUAAUCUCAUGAUUGAUUGUUUGUGAGUGUUGGAUAUGAUGCAAUAAGAGGAAAAUGCAUUCCACAAAAUAUGAUUAAGAUAUUAUAGUGGAGAGCAUUACUCUGCAGAUUCCAAAUCUAUUACACAGCAGCUUGAACCGUGUUGCAUACAUCUUUGCAGAGAGUCUUUGUAAUUUUUUUUAAUCGGUCCAGCUGUAGUAUCCUUGUCUGGACUUCUUCAUAAUUCUAUAGAGUUUGUGUUCAACUUAGCUUGCUGUUUGGAUUCAUCAAAUUGUGUUUCAUAAUUGUUUGAAGCAUUAGGAUGAAUUUCCAUGUGGUAUGAAUCAUUUUUGGUUGAAUUAAGCAACCUGUGUGGUGAGAAUUUGCAAUAGUCGUGUGCAGUCACUGCCAUCCACUUCAAUCUGAUAUAUUUGGCAAACCAGACUUGCUCCAAGUGCCAAAUCACUGAUCCAAACACUUUUGAAUCUUAUGCUGAAAUUUGAUUAAUGCAUUGGUUAUGAUUUAGCGUGAAAUGGCAACUGAUAUAGGCAAUUUUUUAUUCAAGCAUGAAUUGUCUCACUUGACAAUUGAUAUAUGUCAUUUAUGCUCAAUUAAAGUUGCUGAAAGCUCUAAAUCAGAAAGAUAUACCUAUCUGCUAAAUAUAACCAAUCUGAUUUCAUUAUUCAGCAUUAUUUUGUUUUAAUAAGUUGCAGCGUUUUUAUGACAGUAUUGUUGUGAAGUGUGCAUCCAUAUUGUAUGAUCAUUGGUAGCAAAAUGCUUGGUUCAAGUAAUUAAAGAAAAAGAAUGAAAGCAUAAAUCAAAAUACGUAUAUGCUGCAUUGUAAAAGCAAGAGGAACCGUGCCAAUUGACAUAAGUCUGAAACUGGAUGCAUAGUUUUCAGCAGUUCAUUUAGGCAUUUCUCCAAACACUUUUGCUUAAAUUCCUUUUGAGUUGAAUUAAAUGUUUCUGCAACUUAUCUUUGUUUCUUGCUUUUCAAAUCUACUCUAGAACCUUUCCUAAGUUCCUUUUGAGUGCCACCUAUCAUUGAACACCAAUUAAUUGCUUGAUUUUUGCUUGUUUGGACUUCUGCACACCAACUGUUUCUUAUAUUUCCAGUGAUGUGUUCUGUUUUGUUAUCAUUGCAGCAGCAAAAGUCCCAAUUUCUGCACUCAAACUUGAUGAAUGUGGAUUGGUGUGAGUUCAUUUGUGGUUACAACAUUGUUGUAGACGGCUUGACAUAAUUAGUAGCACUUUAGGAAGAGGAUUGGUGAAGGAAAAGAUCACUUGGAAGGAUGCAAUUCGGCACAGCAGUACACUCGUAAGCUGCAAAUUCUGGUGUGGAAUUUCCAUGUGACAGCAGCUUCCUUACUUUGCAGCUGUAACCUUUCAGUGGAAAUUGUGUAGACUUUCAACACGGCACAAGAGAAAAACAGCCGCAACAGCAAAUCUUCCAAUCAAGUUCAUUCUGCAGCAUAUGCAUUUGGCAGCAAAACCACAACCCCUUGAAAAGCUUUGUUUAUUUCAAGCUGCAGCAGGGGAAAAUUGGAUCGAUCCUCCACAUCCAUUACAGUAAAGCCGAGAGAAAGAAUUGGUGCAGUUGAGUUUUUAAGCAGCAGCAAGGCACCAAAACUAAGAACAGAAAGUUGAACCAAAAAGCUAGAAGACUCCAAAAAAAAAAAAGUAUCCAGAAGUUGUCCAACACUUGGAUUUGAACAAAAUCAGAACAUGGUAGCAGCAAUUCUUAGCUUUCUUUUGUAAUUGUAGUGUUCAUUGUUGACUUGUAAUAGGUUUUCCUUUGUUAGAUUUCUUUAAAUUGUAAAAGGCCAUUGCAAGUCCAAGUGGU